UACGGGGGGGGCAAGCGUUGUUCGGAAUUACUGGGCGUAAAGGGUGCGUAGGCGGUGCUCUAAGUCGGAUGUGAAAUCCCCGGGCUCAACCUGGGAACUGCAUCCGAUACUGGCGAGCUAGAGUGCGAUAGAGGGGGGUAGAAUUCCUAGUGUAGCGGUGAAAUGCGUAGAUAUUAGGAGGAAUACCGGUGGCGAAGGCGGCCCCCUGGAUCGACACUGACGCUGAGGUGCGAAAGCGUGGGUAGCAAACAGG
rnacentral:rRNA from 1 species